rnacentral:misc_RNA from 1 species
GAUGAAGAACGUAGCGAAAUGCGAUAAGUAAUGUGAAUUGCAGAAUUCAGUGAAUCAUCGAAUCUUUGAACGCACAUUGCGCCCGCCAGUAUUCUGGCGGGCAUGCCUGUCCGAGCGUCAUUUCAACCCUCGAACCCCUCCGGGGGGUCGGCGUUGGGGAUCGGCCCCUCACCGGGCCGCCCCCGAAAUCCAGUGGCGGUCUCGCCGCAGCCUCUCCUGCGCAGUAGUUUGCACACUCGCACCGGGAGCGCGGCGCGGCCACAGCCGUAAAACACCCCAAACUCUGAAAUGUUGACCUCGGAUCAGGUAGGAGUACCCGCUGAACUUAAGCAUAUCAAUAAGCGGAGGA